CACGUAGGCGGACUCUUAAGUCAGGGGUGAAAUCCUGGAGCUCAACUCCAGAACUGCCUUUGAUACUGGGAGUCUUGAGUUCGGGAGAGGUGAGUGGAACUGCGAGUGUAGAGGUGAAAUUCGUAGAUAUUCGCAUGAACACCAUGGCGAAGGCGGCUCACUGGCCCGAUACUGACGCUGAGGUGCGAAAGCGUGGGAGCAAACA
rnacentral:rRNA from 1 species